rnacentral:rRNA from 1 species
AUGCUAAGGACAAAGAUUGGCAAAAGCUCAAGACUCUUCGUUCAUAUUUUAGUGAUCCAAAAUCACAUUGAGUCCAUAAGAAAGCCAAUAAUAUUAAAAGGGGAUGAGGUGUUGCUUAAUGGUCAACUUGCUCAAGUGCUUAGUGAUAUUGCUCCAAAACCCUCAGCCACUUUCUCCAUCCAAAUAUGUCAAACCCCUAAUAUCCAACUUGGCCCCACCGAUUCUUUCUAUCCGGAGCCACCGAGUUCAUAUGACAUAGCCACUGUCAGAAACCCUAACAGUUCGGUCUCACCAAUACAGAUCUCGGUCUCACCGAGAUGGCCUUGUCAACUCUCUGUUAUCAGUUGCAAUUAUUUCGUUCUCACCGAAAUUGCAAUCGGUCUCAUCGAGAUGGCUUGA